rnacentral:lncRNA from 1 species
CUAUGUUCAUAUGACGAACAUCUCGUGUCCACAUCAAACAUCCUCAGAAUCCGCAUUAUGAUUAACGGAUAAGGCAACCUCUCUGACUGACUAGAAGUCUUGAUGUCUUUAGCCAUACGGCGCCAAACCAAAAAUGGAACAUUAAGAUUGAUCUUCCUAUCACGAACCACAUUCGGCUGACCCACCAAAUACAUAUAAAGCAUGCGAUCCCAACGCACCACCUUCGUGUUAGCCAACGGCAUUAUAUUNN